ACAAAAUUAAAUCAAAACCCUAGUCUCUCCAAUAUUAUUCUUCUUCUUCCUCCUCUUUUGGUAGCCGCCUACCCCCUCCUUCUUUUGUCUCCGGCGACCCGCCACCAACCGGCACAGUAAAUCCCAUCCCACGCCCAAAUUUCUUUCUUCUUUCUUCUUCUUCUUCCGUCACUUCUUCUCCGUCCUCUAUCUUCUUCUUCUUCGGCCGCUUCUUCUUUCUUCUUCUUCUCCUACUGUUUCUUUUUCUUUUUUCUUUGUCUUUUCUACUACUUUCUCAUGCUAUUGAUGGCACUACCAGAUGAGUAAAAAAGCCCUAUUCUUUUCUUUUUUAAUCCAUCGUUUCGUUCCGUUUCAUUUUUAGGGUUAUAUCAUUUGAAAAGUACGAACCACGAAAUUUGCGAUUCAAAAUGCGAUUUGAAUCUUUUUGCCUUUGUUUCAUUCUGAAUCGUAUAUAUUUUUAACAACAUUGAUUUUGUGUACUCUCCCUCCAAUAUAUCCCAUCUAAUAUCUCUAUGUUUUGCUUUGAUAAGGUUCUUCAUGAGCACCAAUUUAUCAAUACUGAUUAUGUUAAAUUUUAGCCAUAACACUGAUGAACUCCACGGGGAGAAUAUCAAACGAGUUGGAAUAUACAACUCCAUGACAUCCAAUGAUGGUUCGGGAUUUUAGAUUAUCUCUUCUCCGGCUAUUGGAGUCUGGGGAUAUAGACCUUUGCUUUGCCAAUGAGAACGAAGCAAAAGAGUUGAUAUGGUGAUCACUUUUUGAAGAUGAGGAUG